AGCGUUUGCACUGUGUUUCCCGCAGAGGGGAAUUCUCUCUUAUGAGAGUAUGGUGUAUAUUGAGCGAGCCUACCCGCACCAGUGUUAGGUCUAGUUUUAUCGUCUGCUGGCGGGGUGAAGAUUGGGGUACGAAUAGAAAAGUGUAGCAAUGGGAAUCAAAGGGUUGAGUGGUUUCGUUCACAAAUACCCCAAACCUUUAUUAGAAGAUAUCGAUGUGAGUGACACAAAAGUUAUCAUCGAUGGAUCAGAACUGCUGUAUUUUCUUUACUUUGAUUGUGGCCAUUUGGAUUUCAGAUGUGGCGGCGAUUAUACGUCAUUUCGAUCUACAAUACAACAAUUUGUCGAAGUCUUGAAGCGUUGCAGUAUACGACCUUACGUGAUAUUUGACAG